rnacentral:rRNA from 1 species
AUUGAACGCUGGCGGCAGGCCUAACACAUGCAAGUCGAACGAGUGGCGGACGGGUGAGUAAUGUCUGGGAACCUGCCUGAUGGAGGGGGAUAACUACUGGAAACGGUAGCUAAUACUGCAUAACCUCAAAUGUGCUCAGAUGGGAUUAGCUAGUUGGUGGGGUAACGGCUCACCAUGGCGACGAUCCCUAGCGGGUCUGAGAGGAUGACCAGCCACACUGGGACUGGGACACGGUCCAGACUCCUACGGGAGGCAGCAGUGGGGAAGAUUGCGCAAUGGGCGCAAGCCUGAUGCAGCCAUGCCGCGUGGAGGAAGAAGGCCUUCGGGUUGUAAAGUACUGUCAGCAGGGAGGCGUUACCCGCAGAAGAAGCCCCGGCUAACUCCGUGCCAGCAGCCGCGGUAAUAC